UAAUAUUGGCACGAGACCGAUAGCGAACAAGUACCGUGAGGGAAAGAUGAAAAGCACUUUGAAAAGAGAGUUAAAAAGUACGUGAAACCGUUAAAAGGGAAACGAAUGGGGUUAGCAAUGCGUCGUGCGAGAUUCAGCCGGUGGGUGGGCCAGGCGGGCGGUUGGCGGAUCUGAAUGGACCGCUGCCGUUCGGGUUGGUUUCCCGACCGUCGCACUUCUCGCAGGCGCGCGCCAACGUCGGUUAGGGCUGGGUCUCAAAGGCGGUGGAAAGGUAGGUUUGGACUCUCGGGCCCGAACUGUUACAGUCCUCCGUUUGUCAUGGCCCGGACCUGACCGAGGAGCUUGCGGUGCAUGCCGUUCGGCUAGGGUCCCGUCUUCCCGGUCGGUCGUCGAAUGCGGUGGACUGCGUGCAGUGCGCCGCGACUGCUGCCGGUCGCGAGGGCGGUGAUUUCGUACUAUGCACCCACGACGUUGGCGGUCAUAUGGCCUCAUCCGACCCGUCUUGAAACACGGACCAAGGAGUCUAACAUGUGUGCGAGUCUUUGAGUGAUCGAAACUCCGAGGCGUAAUGAAAGUGAAGGCGACUUCGGUCGCUGAGGUGAGAGCCUUUUCCACAAAAAAAAGGCGCAUCAUCGACCGACCUAUUCUACUCUUAGAAAGGUUUGAGUAAGAGCGCAUCUGUUGGGACCCGAAAGAUGGUGAACUAUGCCUGAAUAGGGUGAAGCCAGAGGANACUCUGGUGGAGGCUCGUAGCGAUUCUGACGUGCAAAUCGAUCGUCAAAUUUGGGUAUAGGGGCGAAAGACUAAUCGAACUGUCUAGUAGCUGGUUCCCUCCGAAGUUUCCCUCAGGAUAGCUGGAACUUACGGCAGUUUUAUCAGGUAAAGCGAAUGAUUAGAGGUCUUAGGGUUAAAACAACCUUAACCUAUUCUCAAACUUUAAAUUGGUAAGAAGUCCGACUUGCUUAAUUGAAGCCGGACAGUGAAUGCGAGUUCCUAGUGGGCCAUUUUUGGUAAGCAGAACUGGCGAUGCGGGAUGAACCGAACGCGCGGUUAAGGUGCCAAAGUCGACGCUCAUCAGACCCCACAAAAGGUGUUGGUUGCUCUAGACAGCAGGACGGUGGCCAUGGAAGUUGGAAUCCGCUAAGGAGUGUGUAACAACUCACCUGCCGAAGCAACUAGCCCUGAAAAUGGAUGGCGCUCAAGCGUCGCACCUAUACCGUGCCGUCGGAGCAGAUGCGAAGCUCCGACGAGUAGGAGGGCGUGGGGGUCGUGACGCAGCCUCUGGCGCGAGCCUGGGUGAAACGGCCUCCAGUGCAGAUCUUGGUGGUAGUAGCAAAUAUUCAAAUGAGAGCUUUGAAGACCGAAGUGGAGAAAGGUUCCAUGUGAACAGCAGUUGGACAUGGGUUAGUCGAUCCUAAGAGAUAGGGAAAUUCCGUUUGCAAGCGCCCGAUCUUGGGCCGCCUAUCGAAAGGGAAUCGGGUUAAUAUUCCCGAACCGGGACGCGGAUAUUGCCGUUCGCGGCAGAUGCGGUAACGCAAACGAACCCGAAGACGCUGGCGG
rnacentral:ncRNA from 1 species